AACGAGAAAGGGUAGCAAUACCUGAGUAAAGUGGCGCACGGGUGAGUAACACGUGACUAACCUACCCUAGAGUGGGGGAUAACUGAGGGAAACCUUAGCUAAUACCGCAUAAUACCUACGGGUCAAAGGAGCAAUUCGCUUUGGGAGGGGGUCGCGGCCGAUUAGUUAGUUGGCGGGGUAAUGGCCCACCAAGACAGUGAUCGGUAUCCGGCCUGAGAGGGCGCACGGACACACUGGAACUGAAACACGGUCCAGACUCCUACGGGAGGCAGCAGUGGGGAAUUUUGCGCAAUGGGGGAAACCCUGACGCAGCAACGCCGCGUGGAGGAUGAAGUCCUUCGGGACGUAAACUCCUUUCGAUCGGGACGAUAAUGACGGUACCGGAAGAAGAAGCCCCGGCUAACUUCGUGCCAGCAGCCGCGGUAAUACGAGGGGGGCGAGCGUUGUUCGGAAUUAUUGGGCGUAAAGGGUGCGUAGGCGGUUUGGUAAGUCUUAUGUGAAAUCUAUGGGCUCAACUCAUAGACUGCAUGAGAAACUGCCGGGCUUGAGUGUGGGAGAGGUGAGUGGAAUUUCCGGUGUAGCGGUGAAAUGCGUAGAUAUCGGAAGGAACACCUGUGGCGAAAGCGGCUCACUGGACCACAACUGACGCUGAUGCACGAAAGCUAGGGGAGCAAACAGGAU
rnacentral:rRNA from 1 species